GCUUGCUUAAAAAUAGGUAAUUCCUGCUGCCUGGUUUCUUUAAUGGGGUAGUAGAGUUGUGCACGAAGUGUGACUGUACAAGUAAAUUUAGGCAAAGUAUGUGUUUGUGUGGAGCUGUGUUGUGAUUCUAAGAGAUGGCAUCUUAAGCAUCUGCUGUGAAAUAAGGACCUGACUCCAUGGCUGUCCAUGUGCAGAAGUGCCCCUGCACCCACUCUGCACAGAGAUGUGAAGUAGUCCCUCCAGCUCUUGAAGUGAUGUUGCAUAUACAAAGUACUUACAUGUGAGUGACUUUACUCAAGCUGUUGAAGGAAUGGGCCUCCAGACUCUGAAGUGUUUCAUCUAUGGAGAUGUAACUAAAAACCAGCAAACAGAAAAAGAAACAAGUCACAGACCUUGGCAAACCAUGACCAGUGCCCUGCGAGACAGUUUUUCUCUUCAUCCUGUGCCACCUGCCAAGGGAGGCAGCACUGAUGUUGUCAGGCAGAAGAACUUUUAACGUUUAAAUUUGCUGUAUGACCACUAAAUCGCAACUGCAUAACAAUGCUACUAAGCAGCAAAUAGAAAGAUUUCACAUUUCGGAAUUCUUUUUCUUUCCUUUUCCCAAUGAAGAUCACUAUGGUGUUCGUCAAGAAGACUUAGCUGUCAGGUAAAUCGGCAGAUUUACGUAUAUCCAAGAAAAAAAAAAGGAAAGACACAAAGUUGGAUUUUGGGUUAUCACUGCAACAACUGUCACAAAUUCUUUGUCAUAGAGCAAAUAAUACUUUGCUGUUGUUGAGGGGAAAAAAAAAAAGCUGUAAUAUGAAUUUGGAAAAAAUCUUUAGCCACAAAGAGAAUGUCAUAAAGAGAAUAAAGAGCAAUGUGGCAGCAAAGCAAAGCAAAACAAGAAAAAAAUACCUCAAGCUUAAGAAAUACAUAUGGUUAAACUGAGUAGCACUUACACUGAAUAUGAGAAACUAGCCCUACUGAGUCUCCCCACCACCACUAGGAAGGUAAUAGUGAAAUUAGUCUGUUAAAAGUUUUGAAGUGUGAGUAAAGUUGCAAUACAACUAUCAAAUUCAAAUUUUCAAAGUCACACUGACCUUAAUUAUUUGGGUAACAUCACCUAAUUAUGUCAUUCAAAAUAUCUCUUAGUUUGAAAAUUGAUCAGUCCUAGAAUAACAUUUAAAUGCUGUAUUCCUGUGCUUGGUUUACAUUUUCUAAUUAUAUUAAAUAUAUUUCUAAUUUAUAGAUCUUUAAAAUUAAUAAGUAAUUAAAAUAUUGAUCGUAUUAUCAGUACUAAUAGUAAAUAUGAAAUACAAAUACAAUCUUUUAAACCAGAAGGACUUUGUCAUGCAAGAAAUUAAAGAUCAGAUUCUUUUUUGUUGUUGUUGUUGUUGUUGUUGUGGAAAUGAUACAGAAAAUAAAUUUCAACUUCUUUCCGUGGA